rnacentral:rRNA from 1 species
GACGAACGCUGGCGGCGUGCUUAACACAUGCAAGUCGAACGGAAAGGCCCUGCUUUUGUGGGGUGCUCGAGUGGCGAACGGGUGAGUAACACGUGAGUAACCUGCCCUUGACUUUGGGAUAACUUCAGGAAACUGGGGCUAAUACCGGAUAGGAGCUCCUGCUGCAUGGUGGGGGUUGGAAAGUUUCGGCGGUUGGGGAUAGACUCGCGGCUUAUCAGCUUGUUGGUGGGGUAGUGGCUUACCAAGGCUUUGACGGGUAGCCGGCCUGAGAGGGUGACCGGCCACAUUGGGACUGAGAUACGGCCCAGACUCCUCCGGGAGGCAGCAGUGGGGAAUAUUGCACAAUGGGCGGAAGCCUGAGGCAGCAACGCCGCGUGCGGGAUGACGGCCUUCGGGUUGUAAACCGCUUUCGCCUGUGACGAAGCGUGAGUGACGGUAAUGGGUAAAGAAGCACCGGCUAACUACGU